GUCUACGGCCAUACCACCCUGAACGCGCCCGAUCUCGUCUGAUCUCGGAAGCUAAGCAGGGUCGGGCCUGGUUAGUACUUGGAUGGGAGAAAUAUCUCAAACUUUUGGCU
rnacentral:rRNA from 1 species